UACGUAGGGGGCAAGCGUUGUCCGGAAUUAUUGGGCGUAAAGAGCGCGUAGGCGGUCCGGUAAGUCGGUUGUGAAAGUCGGGGGCUCAACCCUCGGAUGCCGAUCGAUACUGUCGGGCUAGAGUCCGGAAGAGGCGAGUGGAACUCCUGGUGUAGCGGUGAAAUGCGCAGAUAUCAGGAGGAACACCAAUGGCGAAGGCAGCUCGCUGGGACGGUACUGACGCUGAGGCGCGAAAGCGUGGGGAGCAAACAGG
rnacentral:rRNA from 1 species